AAGCUGGUUUAAAUGUUUUGAAAACAUUUUUUAGAUUUUCUAUAGCUUU
rnacentral:tRNA from 1 species